AUGGGCCGCGAUCUGCUGCACCUGGGAUUCCUCGUCACAGUUUUCCAGCAGCUAGUCUUCUCGGCUGAGCCGUGUGAGGACCCCUUCCCCACCCAGCAGCACGUCCAGGCGGGGGAGAACGUCUCCAUGAGUUGCAACUUCACCGUCUAUGACCCCAGAACGGCCCCAACGGUCCAGUGGAACUAUCAGAGCCAGACCAAGAACAUGGAAAGCAUCAACCUCUACACAAGCAUCAAUGGGAACGAGAACCGCUUCUACUACAGGCCGCGCUUCGAGGGCAGGACGUGGGUUAACGCCACUGGGCUGGCCCAUGGCGACGCCACCCUGCACCUUGCUGGAGUCACGACGUCCGACCAAGGGUACUUCUCCUGCUUUGUGGGCCUGGGCCACGACUGUAAGUCUGUGGCGGUGCAGCUCUGGGUCAGCGGUAAGUAGGAGGGAGAGGCGAGGAGGCACGUGUUGGGUGGAGAGGUCUCCGGCCCACCUCGGCUUUUGGAUUCAGCCUCGGGGAGAAGAGAACCUGAGAGCUGAGUGUCCAUUUGGGCUCAUCCUGCCCCCGGUGGGCGCCAUACGGCCUGUCUGAACCUGGCAGCAUGUGUGUAGCAGGGAUCCAGGCCUUCUCUAUGUGCAAACACAGCCCCUGCUUCCCAGAGUAUCUGAGCUGCUCCACAUCCUUAAUCCCAACCCCCCUUGUGCGGCUGGGCCGGGCUGUCUCCUGCAUUGCGCAGCUGGGAAACUGAGGCACAGAGCGACACAGGGGGUGUCUGCAUUGCACACAGUGUGCGGGAUUGCAGCCCAUGGAAGCCACGGCAGCCAGGGCUGUAUAAGCUGAGACCCUGGAGGCCAACUUGGGUGGCGAGCCCAUGCUACAGUCAGCUCGCUCGGGUGUCAAUGCGUGCUUCAGUUCCGCCCCCUGAUGGCAGGACAGCCCUCCCCUAGGGGGUCUGUGGCAGAACAGGGAAUUGAACCUUGAUCUCCCAAGUCUCUGGCUAGUGUCCGAAUCACUGGGAGCACCCCGCCUCUCGUCCUUCUUUCCCAUGCCUCCCCGUUCCUGCUCAUGGCGGGUCCGUGGCUCCACGGGCCCCAUGCUACGACGUGGCACCAUGAUGCCCAGGUGCCGCGCGGGCUGAUGCCAUGCCAAUAGUGUGACAUCCCGUCAGACAAAUCCCCAUCUCAGCUCUGUGCGAUGCCAGCACAACAUGGCACGGCAGUGCAGACACACAGCCCCCAGACACAGUGACUCGGGUAGGAGGCAAAGUCCCAGAGGCCCCCACCCUAUGGAAAAAGUCCUCUGCAUUUACCUGCAGAACGUCUGCCAGGGUCUCUGGCAGCGAAGCCCCCAAGCUGACGUCUGCUAAACAGGAGUUUUGCUGGCCUAGAUCCUGGGUCCGGGGACUCCGCACGAGCCAGCAGACCAGUUUGCUCCCCACCACUC
rnacentral:lncRNA from 1 species